rnacentral:rRNA from 1 species
AGUUGUUGCGGUUAAAAAGCUCGUAGUUGAAAUUGUGUCCUGCGGUGUCGGUCUACCGAUUGCGGUACGACAGGCACGUCUGCGGGGCUUCUCGCCGGUGCGUCCACCGCCGGCGUGCGUCGGUCGGCCUCACGGUCGGCCGCGCACCGAGGGGGCCGUCGCGGCUGUUUACUUUGAACAAAUUAGAGUGCUCAAAGCGGGCUAACACUUGCCUGAAUAUUGUACGCAUGGAAUAAUAGAAUAGGACCUCGGUUCUGUUUUGUUGGCUUUCUGAUACCAGAGGUAAUGAUUAAUAGGGACAACUGGGGGCAUUCGUAUUGCGACGUUAGAGGUGAAAUUCUUGGAUCGUCGCAAGACGGACUAAAGCGAAAGCAUUUGCCAAAGGUGUUUUCAUUAAUCAAGAACGAAAGUUAGAGGUUCGAAGGCGAUUAGAUACCGCUGUAGUUCUAACCAUAAAUGAUGCCAGCCAGCGAUCCGCCGAAGUUUCAUAAUUUUAACCCGGUGGGCAGCUCCCGGGAAACCAAAGCUUUC